CGUCAUAGAAAGCUUCUAUCCUUUUCAGUGGGUCAUGAAUGUUGUAGUUACAAAAGGUUAAACAAAGACAUUAUUUACAUAGGAGUCAUUCCUUUAAGACAUAACAAACACCGAUAACAGGGUCGAAAUUUGAAUUAUUUCCAUAGCUGAUCUGCGCUUUCGAUCUUGAGUAAAUUUAUGAAUUUUAUCGGGGUACUGUGUUGUGUUCAGUUAAUUCUGUUCUGUUUGAAUCAUCAAGUUUUUCAGGUAACUUGUUAACUCGUCUUUUUGUUCUUUCGAAAUGUUUCAUAGUUCCCUAAGGAGCUAAAUAAAAAAAACUCAGUAGAUAACAGAAUUUCAGGAGUUGUGAAGCCAAACUUGACGACGAUAAACUAGGGAGAACGAAUCGAAAGUAGUUAUGCAAAUAAUUGAAAGGUCAGCGAUGUUUGUUUAUAAAAUGACGUUGCAUAUCAACUGAAAUUCUAUUUCAGUAGUCCGUCCUUUGGCUUAAAUCAAAUUCGACGAAAUUAGCACCUGAAGCGAACUARGAGUACCGACCUGGGAAAUUGAAGGUUUAAAAAUAAGCAUAAAUAUUUUCUGUGACAGCUAAAGCGAAAGGUGUAACUAUCAAAUGCAGUGAAAGAAUAACAGAUUACAGUGUGUAAAUAAAUAGACGUUUCACCAAUCGCUGUAGUAGUCUUAAGUUGUAAAAGCGGAUGAAAUAGACUCCCCUAAUGUAUUAUUCACAAGAAAUUAAUGUCAAUUUUGUCGCAGUCCGAGUUCCUCCGAGUUGAUCAAAGACCAUGAUGAUGAUGAUGAUUUUUUUGUUCGACGAUGAGGAAAUGAUCGGAACCGUUUCUUACUGCCAGGAAAAACUUCAACUGAUGGAGACACCAGCUUAAAGGAAACAAAAACGAAAUGAAACUUGUCAGCUUUACAGCCAUGGCGACAAUCGAUGACAAAGAAGAAAAUAGACUGUCUGGGUCUAGAAGAAGCAGUAUUGGACAAGCGAUAUGAAAAUUUAUAAAUUUUAAAUUACAGGAUGUUAUCUGACAGCAGCUAUAUAAGCAAUGAUCGAGUGAAGUUCUUGCUACAUUUGUUCCUUGCCUUGGAUAUCGUUUCAGGCGAUAUUUCCGCUGAAGUUGCGAAAUUCAAAAAUAUAAUUCAUUAACUCGUAUUGUGUAGGAAACUAAGUAGUAGCAAAGUGGUUUUUACCAAUAAAUAUUCUAAUUUAUGGUUCA